rnacentral:rRNA from 1 species
UACGAAGGGGGCUAGCGUUGCUCGGAAUCACUGGGCGUAAAGGGUGCGUAGGCGGCGCGGUAAGUCGGGUGUGAAAUCUCGGAGCUUAACUCCGAAACUGCAUUCGAUACUGCCGUGCUUGAGGACUGGAGAGGAGACUGGAAUUUACGGUGUAGCGGUGAAAUGCGUAGAUAUCGUAAGGAAGACCAGUGGCGAAGGCGGGUCUCUGGACAGUUCCUGACGCUGAGGCACGAAGGUCAGGGGAGCAAUCGGG